CACCAUGGAAACGGUACACAGCAGGCCUUUUAUGCUGACCCCAGCGUCCUGUACAUUUCACUCCAUCGCUAUGAUGAAGGGAACUUUUUCCCCGGCAGCGGAGCCCCGAAUGAGGUUGGAAUAGGCCUGGGAGAAGGCUACAACAUAAACAUUGCCUGGACAGGUGGCCUUGACCCCCCCAUGGGAGAUGCUGAGUACCUCGAAGCCUUCAGGACUGUCGUGAUGCCUGUGGCCAAAGAAUUUGAUCCAGACAUGGUCCUGGUUUCUGCUGGAUUUGAUGCAUUGGAAGGCCACACCCCUCCCCUAGGGGGUUACAAAGUGACAGCAAAAUGCAAGUAUCUCUUUCAAGACUUCAUGAAAAGCUAUGA